CCCUUAGAUGUUCUGGGCCGCACGCGUGCUACACUGAGUGGAUCAGCGGGUCAGGUUGCGCGAAAGUGUUUCCUAAUCUUGAAAUCCGCUCGUGAUGGGGAUUGACGGUUGCAAUUUUCUGUCAUGAACGAGGAAUACCUUGUAAGCGCGAGUCAUCAUCCCGCGCUGAAUACGUCCCUGCCCUUUGUACACACCGCCCGUCGCUCCUACCGAUUGAGUGGUCCGGUGAGGCUUUGGGAUCUGAGCGGAAAGAGCGUUUCGCUCGUUCUGCCCGGAAAACUCAGUCGAACCUUAUCAUUUAGAGGAAGGAGAAGUCGUAACA
rnacentral:rRNA from 1 species